CUGAUGACCCAAAGAUUGAGUUAAAGAUUGAUUUUGAUGAUCACAAAACCUUGAAGUAUAAUUACUAAUGUUUGUGUUGCAAGAAGAAAGAUAAUUUGUUUUGCAAGAAACAUAGCAAGUUGGAAAAAUACAAGAAGGCCUCAAAAGCUCUCAAGAAAAGUUGGAAGAAAGCUACACUUCAUUGGCCCAAGUUUCAAGUUCAAAGGAUUCAAGU
rnacentral:lncRNA from 1 species